UAAAACGUAGGAGGCAAGCGUUAUCCGGAGUUACUGGGCGUAAAGCGUAUGUAGGCGGUUGGGCAAGUGGCGUGUGAAAGCUCCCGGCUAAACUGGGAGAUGCCAGGUCAGACUGCUCGACUCGAGUCCGAUAGAGGAGCGUAGAAUUCCGGGUGUAGCGGUGAAAUGUGUAGAGAUCCGGAGGAAUACCAGUGGCGCAAGCGGCGCUCUGGGUCGGGACUGACGCUGAGAUACGAAAGCGUGGGGAGCGAACGGGAUUAGAGACCCCGGUAGUCCACGCUGUAAACGAUGCGAACUGGGUGUUCACUCACCGACAGGUGAGGGAGUGCCGAAGCUAACGCGCUAAGUUCGCCGCCUGGGGAGUACGGUCGCAAGACUA
rnacentral:rRNA from 1 species